rnacentral:rRNA from 1 species
AUACGUAGGUGGGCGAGCGUUAUCCGGAAUUACUGGGCGUAAAGGGUGCGUAGGCGGUUAUAUGUGUCAGAUGUAAAAAGGCUAUGGCUUAACCAUGGUUGGCAUUUGAAACUGUAUGACUUGAGUGCAGGAGAGGAGAGUGGAAUUCCUAGUGUAGCGGUAAAAUGCGUAGAUAUUAGGAGGAACACCAGUUGCGAAGGCGGCUCUCUGGACUGUAACUGACACUGAGGCACGAAAGCGUGGGGAGC